rnacentral:misc_RNA from 1 species
CUGAACGCCUCUACGUCAGAAA